AUUGAACGCUGGCGGCAGGCCUAACACAUGCAAGUCGAGCGAGCGGCGGACGGGUGAGUAAUGCCUGGGAAUUGCCCAGUCGAGGGGGAUAACAGUUGGAAACGAAUGCUAAUACCGCAUACGAUUGGAUUGCCCAGGUGGGAUUAGCUAGUUGGUGAGGUAAUGGCUCACCAAGGCGACGAUCCCUAGCUGGUCUGAGAGGAUGAGCAGCCACACGGGAACUGAGCCACGGCCCAGACUCCUACGGGAGGCAGCAGUGGGGAAUAUUGCACAGUGGGGGAAACCCUGGUGCAGACAGGCCGCGUGGGGUAAGAAGUGCUUCGGUUUGUAAAGCACUUUCAGCGAGGAGGCGUUACUAGCAGAAGAAGCACCGGCUAACUCCGUGCCAGCCGCCGCGGUAAUAC
rnacentral:rRNA from 1 species